rnacentral:misc_RNA from 1 species
GCAAAGUCCUUCAGAUCAUUUCUUGCGUGCCAUAAAUACAGAGUUCGACAGGAUCAUCGCGAUGUGCAAAAGUUGGCAGGAUGACCACGGAGACUUGUCAGCAGUGAACAUGGAUACUGCUGUUGCUAUACGUACCCUUGAAGCAACCUAUAAAUCAUCGGCAGAUGCUGUUUCUCUUGAGACUAUGAUAGUGAAGCUCACUGAGAAGGAAGGUCCAUCCCUCAAAAGCAAGGGAAUGGUUGGC